AUGACAGUAGCACAGCAGUUGUGGUGAGCAUCUGGCAGUGAAGGCGUUAAACCUACAGUCAACGGCAAAACAGCAGGCCGGGAUGUGAUUUGGGCAUACUUCUGCUGGAGUGUUGUAACAGUAGCAACAUUUCCUCGGGAGGAGGUAUGCAUUUUUGCCCAGUUGGCUGGAAAAGAGCACCUGAAGGAGCCCACCCAAACUGAGGACCCACCACACUAGGCACUGUAGAAACUGUCCCUGCUUCGAGGGGCAGACAAUGGGUGGAAGAGGAAAGAGAGGCACAGUGAGAAUAUAGGAUAAAAAAGAAAUGAUGACUGCCAGAUGGCGAAUCACCGUUUAGCAGGAGCAGGAAAAAGAGGACUCAGUCAAUCACGGGGUAAGUGAUAAGACACUGCAGUGAACUACCGAAAAGAAAGGAAGCUCAUUACACGAGGCACUAAAUUAUUCUUAUUGAGACUUCUCCUCCUUCUUC